rnacentral:rRNA from 1 species
UAGGGUAAUACCUCAUGUGAUCCGAGGUUUGGAUGCCUCGGAUGAAAGGCGCAAUCGUGUCGCUUUGGGAUGAGCCUGCGGUCCAUUAGAUUAGUUGGUGAGGUAAUAGCUCACCAAGGCGAUGAUGGAUAGCCGGCCUGAGAGGGUGAACGGUCACACUGGGACUGAGACACGGCCCAGACUCCUACGGGAGGCAGCAGCUAAGAAUAGUCCGCAAUGGGGGAAACCCUGACGGUGCGACGCCGCGUGGGUGAUGAAGGCCUGACGGUUGUAAAACCCUUUUCUCAGCGAAGAAUAAGGUGAGGAGUGGAACGCCUCAUCGAUGACGUUAGUUGAGGAAGAAGCCCCGGCCAAUUACGUGCCAGCAGCCGCGGUAACACGUAAGGGGCGAGCGUUGUUCGGAAUUAUUGGGCGUAAAGGGCGCGUAGGCGGUGCAGCAAGCUUGGUGUAAAAGGCUCGGGCUCAACCCGGGGAAUGCGCUGGGAACUGCUGCGCUAGAGUUUUGGAGGGGAAGCUGGAGCUCCUGGUGGAGGGGUGAAAUCUGUAGAUAUCAGGAAGAACACCGGUAGCGAAGGCGAGCUUCUGGCCUAAGACUGACGCUGAGGCGCGAAAGCGUGGGGAGCGAACAGGAUUAGAUACCCUGGUAGUCCACGCCGUAAACGAUGUGCACUAGGCGUAGGGUGCGUUGAGUGCUCUGUGCCGGAGCUAACGCGUUAAGUGCACCGCCUGGGGAGUAUGCCCGCAAGGGUGAAACUCAAAGGAAUUGACGGGGGCCCGCACAAGCGGUGGAGCAUGUGGUUUAAUUCGAUGAUACGCGAGGAACCUUACCAGGGCUUGACAUGUGCACGGAGAUCCAUGAGAGUGGGUUGUCCUUCGGGACGUGCACACAGGUAUUGCAUGGCCGUCGUCAGCUCGUGUCGUGAGAUGUUGGGUUAAGUCCCGCAACGAGCGCAACCCUUACCGUCUGUUGCCAACAGGUAAUGCUGGGGACUCGGACGGAACUGCCGGUGGCAAACCGGAGGUAAGGUGGGGACGAGGUCAGGUCAUCAUGAUCCUUACGUCCUGGGCUACACACGUGCUACAAUGGUCGGUACAGAGCGUAGCGAUACGGCGACGUUGAGCAAAUCGCUGAAAGCCGGCCUUGGUUCGGAUUGGAGUCUGAAACUCGACUCCAUGAAGGUGGAAUCGCUAGUAAU